ACAACAUUUUGAUUCCGGACUCCUACACAGCCUCCAUUACCUGCUAGAUUAGAGGUGUGCCACUGUUGGAUUGUGUAAUCGGACAGUGAAUGUACACUUCAACGACGUCAUCUUAUCCCUGACUCAUAGCUACCUUCCUAAACCGAACACAAAUUCUACUUCUAUUUCAAAAAAAAAAAUACAAAUACUGAACGGUCUUUGGCAGCACAAAACUAUUAUUCAACGUGUUAAAAUUCACCAUCCCUUUUUAUUGAUACUUUCAAGUUUUUCUUACAUCUUACAUCUAGGAUUUCGAGGUUCCUUCAGUUUUUCUUUCAAUGGCUUCUAGCUCUCAUAGAGGCGGUGAUUUCUACGGUGUUGCUUCCUACAUAUCCAGAGAUGGAUUGAACACGAGGGUGGUAGGCGGUUCAGAUGAAAUACAAUUGCAUAUUUAUCCGAUGCACGGGGACCUACAUGACGAGAUUACAGGUCUCCGUAAACAAGUAAAAUAGCUCAAAAUAUACCGGAGUUGGUCCCAGCGGCGCUAAGUGAGAUUGCUCGGAUCUAGCUAUCAUUGAAGACUUGAGGUAUAGCUGCACGGCGUCCGUAGCCCUGAAAUCCCCUUCUUUUUCAUCUUAGCUGUUUAUUUUGAUUAAGACAGUUAUAUUUUAUUCAGACCAUUAUCUGUAGUACUCUAGAUGCUCAUGUAUCUGUGACACCAGUUUCUGGAAUUGUAUUUGGAUUAUGUCGUUUAUUAGUUUAUCACCUUAUUUCAGACUA